CACCGAAGAGGCAACAUGUAAGCUGUCACACUGAGAAAGGAACCAAACGAAGGUUGUCAGAAUCGAAACCAAAUGCCUUUGCCCACUGAGCCAUCAUCUUACCAGCCUGAAGCCAAGGUCUUUUGAGGAUACUGACCUUCAUUAGUGACAGCAGCCCAUGUCUCCUCCACACCCUUCCGUCUGGACCUGCCACAGCAGGAGCCUCCCCACCCCACCCUGAGGCCCUUAUCUGAGUCAUUCUACCCUCCCCUCCCCCACCUCUGGGGUCCAAUAGAUUAUCCCAGCCAGGUGGCAGAGGAAAGCAGCCACAAGCUGCCAACCACAUUUGUCCAGGCUCUGUCCUCCACCCAGAAGGAAGGCAAGCGUCAACAUAAGUCCACAUAAAGAAAAGAAGGAGGAAGAGCACCAUGGCCCCAGAAAAGUCUUCAUUGUCUCAGACUGGAAACCAAGUCUCACUGAGGAAACAAAGUUUUCGAGACAAAUUCUCACUCUGCAGCUCAGGCUGGCCUGGAACUCAAUAUGUAGUCUCAGUCAGCCUCCUGAGUGUUGAUAUUAUAAGGAUGAACCACACUGCCUACUUAGUUUUGAGGUUUUAAGAGUUAUUUAUUAUUUUUAUUUUAUGUGUAUGAGUGUUUGCCUGAAUGUAUGUAAGUGCACCAUGUGCAUGCAGUGUCCUUAGAAGCAAGAAGAGGGCUUUGGAUUCCCUGAAACUGAAAUUGCAGCUGUUUAAGAACUGUACCAGUACUGCACCUAGAUCCUCUGCAAGGUCAUCAAGUGUUUGAGCUUGAUCCUGGGACCCACAUGGUAGAAGGAGAGAACCAACUCUUACAAGUUGUCCUCUGAUCUCCACACAUAAGUAAAUAAGCUUGGAGGUUGUGGCACACACCUUUAAUCCUAGCACUUGGGAGGCAGAGGCAGACUGAUCUCUGAGUUUGAGGCCAUCCUGGUUUAAACACAAAAAACAGCAACUAACCAUACAUGCAUUGUAAAUUAUAAUUCCAGCACUUGAGGAGUGGAAGGUAGAGGAUUAGAAGUUCAGGGUCAGCAUAGACUACAUGAGACUCAGUCUCAAUUUUAAAAUAAAGAGAGAGAGAAAGGAAUGUGUGUGUGUGUGUGUGUGUGUGUGUGUGUGUGUGUGUGUUUUGUUGAGAUGGUUUUCAGUGAAUAAAUCUACAGAGACAUCAGUACCAAUUUGAUGUGGGAGAAUUGUCUGUAUUCUGGUCAAUCAUAUUUUAAUAAAACGCUGAUUGGCCAGGCAGGCAGUAUAGGCGG